GUGCUGGCCGCCUCAGUGCCCCAGGAGUGUUUAUACUGCAGCCUCAGUAGUGCACAUGUGUGAGUUCAGCCGCUCCCAUCUGAAUGGACAACAAGAUGCCUUUAGCUCUCAUCCUCAUCUGGACACUCACUCUCUACUGCCAAGAAUGUGCAGGACAGGUCAGUGUGACUCAGACUCCAACAGUGAAAGCUGUUCGUCCAGGACAAGCCGUAUCCAUGAGCUGUAAAACCAGCAGGGAUGUGGCAACUUACAAUUCAGUUCCAUAUAUGAGCUGGUACAAGCAGCAGUCUGGAGAGGCUCCCAAACUCCUGAUCUAUAGAACCAAAACACUUCAGUCUGGAACUCCAUCCAGAUUCAGUGGCAGUGGAUCUGGCAGUGACUUCACUCUGACCAUCAGUAAUGUCCAGGCUGAGGAUGCAGGAGUUUACUACUGUCAGAGUUACCACUCUAUCAACAGUCAGCUUGUGUUCACACAGUGCUAAAGCGCCGUACAAAAA